rnacentral:rRNA from 1 species
UACGUAGGGGGCGAGCGUUGUCCGGAUUUAUUGGGCGUAAAGAGCGUGUAGGCGGCCAGGUAGGUCAGCUGUGAAAACUCGAGGCUCAACCUCGAGAUGUCGGCUGAAACCAUCUGGCUAGAGUCCGGAAGAGGAGAGUGGAAUUCCUGGUGUAGCGGUGAAAUGCGCAGAUAUCAGGAAGAACACCCGUGGCGAAGGCGGCUCUCUGGGACGGUACUGACGCUGAGACGCGAAAGCGUGGGGAGCGAACAGG